AGCGUCGGUGAUGUUCUUUUACCUACAUUGUUUGAGCCUCAUGAAAACUCUACUGGCUGAGACGCCG
ensembl:snoRNA Snord34 small nucleolar RNA SNORD34